AAGCCUCGCCUGUUUACCAAAAACAUCGCCUCCUGCCAACCCCGUAUAGGAGGUCCCGCCUGCCCUGUGACUCUGUGUUUAACGGCCGCGGUAUUUUGACCGUGCAAAGGUAGCGUAAUCACUUGUCUUUUAAAUGGAGACCUGUAUGAAUGGCAAAACGAGGGCUUAGCUGUCUCCCCCUUCUAAUCAGUGAAAUUGACCCCCCCGUGCAGAGGCGGGGAUUAACACAUAAGACGAGAAGACCCUGUGGAGCUUUAAACACAAGACAGGGACAUCGAGAAGCUUUGCUUUAAACAACAAAACUCUUUGUUUACCUCUCUGCUGUUUUUGGUUGGGGCGACCGCGGAGGAAUAACCAUCCCCCGCGAGGACAGGAAGCACUAGCUUCUAUAAGGCAGAACCCCACUUCUAACACACAGAACUUCUGACCACAUGAUCCGGCAUAGCCGAUCAACGGACCAAGUUACCCCAGGGAUAACAGCGCAAUCCUCUUCCAGAGCCCAUAUCGACAAGGGGGUUUACGACCUCGAUGUUGGAUCAGGACAUCCUAAUGGUGCAGCCGCUAUUAAGGGCUCGUUUGUUCAACGAUUAAAGUCCUACGUGAUCUGAGUUCAG
rnacentral:rRNA from 1 species